rnacentral:rRNA from 1 species
CCUACGGGUGGCAGCAGUGAGGAAUAUUGGUCAAUGGGCGCGAGCCUGAACCAGCCAAGUCGCGUGAGGGAGGACGGCCCUACGGGUUGUAAACCUCUUUUGCCGGGGAGCAACGGGCGUCACGUGUGGCGCCACUGAGAGUACCCGGAGAAAAAGCAUCGGCUAACUCCGUGCCAGCAGCCGCGGUAAUACGGAGGAUGCGAGCGUUAUCCGGAUUUAUUGGGUUUAAAGGGAGCGUAGGCCGGCUUUUAAGUCAGCUGUGAAAGUCCGCGGCUCAACCGUGGAAUUGCAGUUGAAACUGGAGGCCUUGAGUGCACACAGGGAUGCCGGAAUUCAUGGUGUAGCGGUGAAAUGCUUAGAUAUCAUGAAGAACUCCGAUCGCGAAGGCAAGUGUCCGGGGUGCAACUGACGCUGAGGCUCGAAAGUGCGGGUAUCAAACAGGAUUAGAUACCCUGGUAGUC